rnacentral:tRNA from 2 species
CAGAGCAUAGCCAAGUCAGUAUAGCACCUCCCUUACACCGAGAAGACGCCCGUGCAAAUCGGACUGCCCUGA